UGGGGAAUAUUGCACAAUGGGGGAAACCCUGAUGCAGCGACGCCGCGUGAACGAAGAAGGUAUUCGUAUCGUAAAGUUCUGUCCUAUGGGAAGAUAAUGACAGUACCAUAGAAGAAAGCUCCGGCUAAAUACGUGCCAGCAGCCGCGGUAAUACGUAUGGAGCGAGCGUUGUCCGGAAUUAUUGGGCGUAAAGGGUACGCAGGCGGUUUAAUAAGUCGAAUGUUAAAGAUCGGGGCUCAACCCCGCAAAGCAUUGGAAACUGAUAAACUUGAGUAGUGGAGAGGAAAGUGGAAUUCCUAGUGUAGUGGUGAAAUACGUAGAUAUUAGGAGGAAUACCAGUAGCGAAGGUGACUUUCUGGACACAAACUGACGCUGAGGUACGAAAGCGUGGGGAGCAAACAGG
rnacentral:rRNA from 1 species